UACGGAGGAUGCGAGCGUUAUCCGGAUUUAUUGGGUUUAAAGGGUGCGCAGGCGGCCUGUUAAGUCAGCGGUAAAAGCCCGGGGCUCAACCCCGGGACUGCUUUGGAAACUGUGUAACUGGAGUACAGGAGGGGCAGGCGGAAUUCCUGGUGUAGCGGUGAAAUGCGUAGAUAUUAGGAGGAACACCAGUGGCGAAGGCGGCCUGCUGGACGACAACUGACGGUGAGGCGCGAAAGCGUGGGGAGCAAACAGG
rnacentral:rRNA from 1 species